GUCUUUGAAUUUGAUAACUGAAGAAAAAUGCCGUGUUUUUUAAGCAUUAUUCAAAGCCCUAUUCAAGCUUUCCUCAGACCUGCUGUAUGGAUUCCUGGCCUCAACAGACUUCACAGUCACAGAGAAAAGUGGGUAGCCAUGAGUGGAACAGCGGAUCAAUUUAUUGAUGAACUAAUACAAGCUGUGGAUAGAGUUGCAGAAUCUGAUUCAAAGACUACAUAUGCAGUCAAGCAGGUUGAUCGUGAGAAACACAAGGUCCAGAUCUACAAUUGGACUUGGGCCGAGUGGCUAGAUGUGGUCGAAAUUGAAUUUAGAGAUGGAAUAGCAGGAGGAGUAGAAGCAAAGUGUUUCUCAUUCUCCAGUGGUUUCUUGCCAACUUGGUUCCCUCUGUGCUUUCUCUUCAAUGUGAUUCUGUUCUGGAUUCCUUUCUAUGAUAACAAAUUCAACUCUACCAGAUUGGAACGACUUAGAGUUUCCAUGGCAACUGAAUGCAUACUUGUCCCCAAGAAGAACAAGGAACCAAAUGAAACUACCCCUAUCGUGUCUGACAAAUUCACACCAACAACCUCCCCACCAAGACAGUCUUCGGCAAGUUUCACAGAAGCCACAGAUACGAGGCACAACACCAUGCCAACAGAGUAUUCUCAAGAGAAAACCACACUCACAAACAAGGACCUAGCUCCAGCAGCUGACACCGUGGUGGUGGUGGUACCCUCUGUGGAAGUUUUAAAUCCAGACCCUUCUGAUGGGAUUCAGACUGGGACUGCUGUGAAUAAUGCCAGUACAGCAAUAGAAGGUGCACCUAAUGAUGGGGAUGCUCUUCAAACAAGUCCAUCAGUUUCAAAUACAGAACCAGUCAAUACAUGAAAUUAAUUUCCAAUUUUGUUGAAGAGAAAGGACUCUGCUAAUUAACAAUAAGGGUCACUAUUGAGGUGAUACUAUUUUGAUGGGGUUAUCUCCCCCCCCCCCAAUUAUAUUUUAGAAGUAAGGUAGAACUCGACACAAUAUUUCACAAUUAUCCACCUCUGUCACCCCCCCCCCCCGAGAAAUAUAGUAUUUAGUAGUCGUAAGUAUGACCAUUAUUCAGUGGUUCCUACUAUCUUAAUGCCUACCAUCAGUCAUUAGUUCCAUUGACAGGUAGAGCCUACCAUGAUCAGAUCAUAGAUUAGAUGUACAAUGAAUAUAAAGAAGAACAUACAGUACCGGGUAUAUCAAUAAGCCCCUUUGACAGUACUGUUAGAUUAAUCAAAUCAAUGCCAUUAAUGUUUAAUGAUGAUUAUAAUAAUGACAUACAAAUUCAUAUAGUGCUUAAUGCAAAUGUUUUCAAUCAAUAUUUAACCCUAGCAAUGCCGGAUUCUUUUUGUUAAGUUUUGUUCCAAUUUUAGGAUGAACUUUAUGACGUUUGAGUACAUGGCAGGUUCCGAAGGUAUAUAACUCUUCAUUAGUUCAUGUACAAAGAAUGCCUCAAAACAUAUACAAAUUCGAUGCACUUUCUGUUUCAAGCCAAAAUUUAAAAAAAUUAUAUUUUUUUCCUUUUACCAACUGACAACAAAGAGUAUCAUGUUUCAAUUGGCAAAAUGGUCAAGAAUAAUUUCCAUUAAAUGAAGUAAUUGAAAUAAGCUGAUUCAUACAAAAUUAAUUUAUCAGAAAAAUAUAUUGGAGUUAUUUUGAUGUGAUAUUUUAUUCAUAGUAGAUUUUUUUUAUCAAAGAGGGCCACCUUUAUUUCUUGAUUUGGAGUAGAAUUCUGAUUUCAUGCAUAAAUAUUCAAAAUUAUACAAUUGUUCUUAAAAAUAUAUAUCUAUGCAUUUUUUAGAUAAUAUCAAAGGUGACACGUAUUCCAAUUUUCAGCAUGAUCACAACCAAGAUACUUGAACCCCACCUAGCUGUAUGGUCUACCAAAAUAUCCUGGCUUAGUCAGAGUUAAAACUGUAGUGAUAUUGAACUGUUACAUAUAAUCACACAUUGACUAACUCCAAUAAUAACAGAUAAAUUAUUUAAUCAUUUAAUUCAAUUUGGUAAUCUUAUUUAUCAUCAAGUGAUAAGUAUUUCAUCAGAAAGCUGAUAAUCAUAAUGAUUUCAGAUUUGCUCUAGGAAUUUAGAAUGCAGAAUUCAGCAAAAUUGAAUAAACUCUCAUUUUACAUGGUGCAAGAAUUGCAUUUCUUUAAAAGGUGCUGUAAGUUGAAAAUUGUGAAUGAAGUUGUUGUUAUCUACUUUUAUAUGUUAGUUUAUGCAGACAUUGUUUUAUUAAAUUGUGCCUUGAGAAAUGAUGAUUGAAAGAUCAGCAUUUUGCAUUUUAAAGGUGAAGUCCUCUCCAACAAGGAGUUGACUUGAAAAAUAGAGACUAAUAAGUAUAACAUUUAAAGUUUCAUCUGAAUCUGAUUCUUUUAUAUAUCUUCUUUUUAAUAUUCAUUUUAUUGCAAUACUGGGAACCCUUGGAUACCUUGUUUCCUCAUGGAACGUCUGUAGUUUUCAAUAUUCAGUUCAUUGAAAAUAUCUGAAGAGCUUCUUUAUCACCAAAGUUUUAAAAAAUGAAUACAUAGUGAAAUACAGAAAAAAAGUGAAUUUGAGAAUCUUUUCUACGUUUGUAUACAUGCCUAAGGCCAGGAUGUGUAGAUAAUUGUUUUGUGAAAUAAGCAAAAUUAAAACAUGGCUUUCGUGAUUUACAUAAUUCUGAUGUAACUUUGAUGUAUAUUUAUUCGAUUUUAUCAAUUCAUUCAAUCAACUUGUUGUUGGGGUAGAUUUUGAAGUAUCUGUUAUUUGUAUUUCAUGUUAAUGUUUUGAGAAACAUAUGAUUAAUAAUGCAUUUUUACCAAAGACGAAUUGAUAAGUACCUUUAUGCAAAAUAACCAUUUUAUACAAUUUUCCUAAGUGUCUUACAUGAAUAUAUUAUUAUUGUUGUUUUUUUAUUAUCAGAAUUUCUUUGAAUGUAACCAUGUUGUGUUUAUGUGAUUUGCAAUCACUUAAUACAACAAUACACCAGUACGACAAUACACCCUGUACUGUUUCCAGAAUAAGAAUAAUAAUUAUUUGUAAAUUUUGUAAUUCAAUUUAAUUUGUUAAAAUAAAAACAUAAUUAUAAAAACGAAUUUACUAACAACAAAUUGCAGCUAUUCAUGUUGUACAUUAUUUGAUAUAGAUAAUGUAAAGGAGUUGCCAAAUCAUGAAAAGUAGAGUAAAUAAUGGGAAUAUAAUUUCAGCUACUUAAUUAUAAUCAAUUCAAGCAUUUUUAACAAUAAUGAUAAUAAUAUAGGGUAUUUAUAAUGCGCACAUAUCCACCUUGUUAA
rnacentral:misc_RNA from 1 species